AGAGUUUGAUCCUGGCUCAGGAUGAAUGCUGGCGGCGUGCCUAACACAUGCAAGUCGAGCGGCAGCGAGUUUUACACUGAAUUCUGGAAGCUUCUGGGUAAUAUAGAAGAUCUAUUCAAGAAUUUUGUGUAAAAUGUCGGCGAGCGGCGGACGGCUGAGUAACGCGUAGGAAUUUGCCCCAAAGUGAGGAAUAACUGCCCGAAAGGGUAGCUAAUGCCGCAUAUGGUCUUCGGAUUAAAGCCUUCGGGCGCUUUGGGAGAAGCCUGCGUUGGAUUAGGUAGUUGGUAGGGUAAUGGCCUACCAAGCCGACGAUCCAUAGCUGGUCUGAGAGGAUGAUCAGCCAGACUGGAACUGAGACACGGUCCAGACUCCUACGGGAGGCAGCAGUGAGGAAUCUUCCACAAUGGGCGAAAGCCUGAUGGAGCAACGCCGCGUGAAGGAUGAAGGCCUUCGGGUUGUAAACUUCUUUUAUGAGUGAAGAAUAUGACGGUAACUCAUGAAUAAGCACCGGCUAACUACGUGCCAGCAGCCGCGGUCAUACGUAGGGUGCAAGCAUUAUCCGGAGUGACUGGGCGUAAAGAGUUGCGUAGGCGGUUUAAUAAGUGAAUAGUGAAACCUGGUGGCUCAACCAUACAGACUAUUAUUCAAACUGUUAAACUCGAGAAUGGUAGAGGUAACUGGAAUUUCUAGUGUAGGAGUGAAAUCCGUAGAUAUUAGAAGGAACACCGAUGGCGUAGGCAGGUUACUGGGCCAUUUCUGACGCUAAGGCACGAAAGCGUGGGGAGCGAACCGGAUUAGAUACCCGGGUAGUCCACGCCGUAAACGAUGGAUACUAGCUGUUGGAGGUAUCGACCCCUUCAGUAGCGAAGCUAACGCGUUAAGUAUCCCGCCUGUGGAGUACGGCCGCAAGGCUAAAACAUAAAGGAAUUGACGGGGACCCGCACAAGCGGUGGAUUAUGUUCUUUAAUUCGAUGAUAACCGAAGAACCUUACCAGGGCUUGACAUCCAGGGAAGGUCUGCGAAAGUAGACUGUGCCUUUUGGAACCCUGUGACAGGUGAUGCAUGGCCGUCGUCAGCUCGUGUCGUGAGAUGUUAGGUUAAGUCCUUCAACGAGCGCAACCCUUGUGAAUAGUUGUAUUUUUCUAUUCAGACUGCCCCGGUAACGGGGAGGAAGGAGGGGAUGAUGUCAGGUCAGUAUUUCCCUUACG
rnacentral:rRNA from 1 species